CGCUCGCGGCGCGCCCGGUCCAGCCGCGGGCUGAGCUCGGAGCCGCGGCGGGCGCGGGAAGCGGGCCGGAGCGCGAGCCGAGCGCAGCCUCCCUCGCCAGCCGGGCAGAGCGGGCAGAGCGGGACAAGCGUGCCGGCGGCCGGAGCGGGGCACGGCGCGCCGGGGCCGCCGCCGGGGGGGAUGCAGCUGCCUCCCCGGGCCGGCGUGUAGAGAGGGCGGGUCCCCGGCCUCGGGAGCGCGGCGGUGGAGGGGACAGAGGCGGCGGCCAUGGCGACCCCCGGCAACCUGGGGUCCUCCGUCCUGGCGAGCAAGACCAAGACCAAGAAGAAGCACUUCGUAGCGCAGAAAGUGAAGCUCUUUCGGGCCAGCGAUCCGCUGCUCAGCGUCCUGAUGUGGGGGGUAAACCACUCGAUCAAUGAACUGAGCCAUGUUCAAAUCCCUGUUAUGUUGAUGCCAGAUGACUUCAAGGCCUAUUCAAAGAUAAAGGUGGACAAUCACCUUUUUAACAAAGAAAACAUGCCGAGCCACUUCAAGUUUAAGGAAUACUGCCCGAUGGUUUUCCGUAACCUGCGGGAGAGGUUUGGAAUCGAUGAUCAGGAUUUCCAGAAUUCCCUGACCAGGAGUGCACCCCUUCCCAACGACUCCCAAGCCCGCAGCGGAGCCCGGUUCCACACGUCCUACGACAAGAGGUACAUCAUCAAGACCAUCACGAGUGAAGAUGUGGCUGAAAUGCACAACAUCCUAAAGAAAUACCACCAGUAUAUAGUGGAAUGUCAUGGGAUCACCCUUCUUCCCCAGUUCCUGGGCAUGUACCGGCUUAAUGUUGAUGGAGUUGAAAUAUAUGUGAUUGUUACAAGAAAUGUGUUCAGCCACCGUUUAUCUGUAUAUAGGAAAUAUGACUUAAAGGGCUCUACAGUGGCUAGGGAAGCAAGUGACAAAGAAAAGGCCAAAGAACUGCCAACUUUAAAGGAUAAUGAUUUCAUUAACGAGGGUCAAAAGAUUUAUAUUGAUGACAAUAACAAAAAGGUAUUCCUGGAAAAACUGAAGAAGGAUGUUGAGUUUCUUGCCCAGCUGAAGCUCAUGGACUACAGCCUCCUGGUGGGAAUCCACGAUGUGGAGAGAGCCGAACAGGAAGAAGUGGAGUGUGAAGAGAACGACGGAGAGGAGGAGGGGGAGAGCGACGGCACCCACCCUAUUGGAACCCCUCCCGACAGUCCUGGAAAUACGCUCAACAGCUCACCGCCCUUGGCUCCCGGCGAGUUUGAUCCAAACAUUGAUGUUUAUGGAAUUAAAUGCCAUGAAAACCCCUUCGACCCCCGCCCCACUGAAUCCCUCGCCUCUUCCUCCGUCAGCAGCUCGCACUCUUCCAGGUGCUGUCAUCACCUGUCCCACAAUCAUCGCUCUCAUCCCUUACAGAUUCGCCUAGGAAGGAGGUGUACUUUAUGGCAAUUAUUGACAUUCUGACUCAUUAUGAUGCAAAAAAGAAAGCUGCCCACGCUGCAAAAACUGUUAAACACGGCGCUGGUGCGGAGAUCUCCACUGUGAACCCAGAACAGUAUUCCAAGCGCUUUUUGGACUUUAUUGGCCACAUCUUGACGUAACGUCCUGCAUGGCCGAAGACGGACGUGAGCGUGGGAAGGACAGAGGUGGCUUCGGCACAGGAAAAAUGAAAACCAAACUCAGUGAAGCACACCUCCUCGUUUACAUCUUCAGGCCAAGAUGACUGAUUUGGGGACUACUUGCUUUAACAGCUACCUGAUAUUUCCCAGCAUCACUCUAGCUAUUUCUGACUUGGGUGUGUAUGUGGGGGGGCGGGGGGGCGUGCGUGCGCACGCGCACGUGAGCAUCUUAAAAACUGAUGGAUUGGUUGAUGGAAACCGACUUCGGUCAGAGUGUGUUUGGAGUAGUAACCCUCUGAUUCCAGCUGUGGAUGAAUGGAUGAAUGAGUGAGUGAGUGAGUGAGCACAUGCAGGGGGGAGGGGAGAAGGCGAUGCGAUGUCAGACCACCCAGGUUGGCACCACACGAGAAACUGUGGAUCAGUUUAUCUUUUGGAGUUGAAAGAUGUGAGAUGGUAAUCGUAAUAAUAAUGGAGAUAAUAAUGAUGAUGAUAAUAAUAAUGAUGGUGAUUAAAAGGAAAAAAAACUUACUGCAGAUGUUACACUUCUACCACGCACGCUGACACUCCUUAAUAGUUGCACCCCGGGCGCUGGACGGAGGAGGCUGGCAUCUCCCGCGCAUCCUGGUUCAGGUGUCGGGACUCACGGUGUCUGGGGACAAAGGUCCCUCCUCCAGCAGGAAGCUGAUGCCCCUAGUGUCUCUCUCUGUACAUUUUCACCUCAGUAAAUACGCCCAGGAACACUGCUUACUUCUCUUUUCUUGCCUGGAGCUUCUUCACUGACACACUCUUACGUUGCAACAUAGUAAUUAAUGCUACAAAAUAAAAAUAAAGCUUACCUGAAAAGUGCAGUUUUGGGCAAUGGCAUCUACAUCUCCCAUGGUGGGAAGGUGAGCAAAGCAUUUAGAACUCUCAAUUUUCCAGUUAAACAGUGGUAUUUUGUUAUGAAUUUGCCUUUAACUGAAACCCUCAAUAUUACUGUUUACAUUAUUAGGAAAACAGGGAUAUUUUUGAAUCUAAAAAUUUAAUGUACAGCAUGUGAUUUUUGAAGUUUACAUGUAAAGUCACUUUACAGUGUAGGUGAAAUGUCUGUCAUAUUUUGAAGUGUAUCCUGCAGUCACAUUUUAAUGGUAGGCGGUCUUUUACAGUAAAAGGAAAAGGGUUGUUUUCCUCCGAUGCACAUUUAUCAACCUAAUGAUUUUUUUUUUUUUAAGAAAAUGUUUAACCCAGAUCUGGUUACACAAGUUCAUUGCCCUAAACUGUGCUGACUGUGUCUAAUCAAGUUAUAAAUUUCCAACAUCGAUCAUGUAUUUACCAACUUCCUGGCAUUUUCUGAAAGGUGUCAAGCUAAAGUAUUAGACUUGCUUAGAAUAGGUUAUCAACUCAUACACUGUGCUAAAGCUGUGCCUUUGAAAUUCUUUGUUUAAAACGUGAGAUGAUUUUUGUAGGCAGGUUCAGAAAAAAAAAAAAUCCACCCCUCAGUAAUUACUUACAGCUCAACAAAUACCCCGCACCAUACUGCCUCUGCCAGUGACUUUCCUUCAGGGCUUAUCAAGUCUGCAACUGUGCCCAACGUAUGUGGGUUUACUUCAGAAAACACCAGGUGACAGCAGCCGGCAUCCUGGGAAGCCAGCAGCAACUGACUUCACAGAGAUAUGUUAUCCUCAACGGACGAUGUCAACAGCACUGUGACCUUGUUGUACAAAUCUGUAUUUUUUGUGUUUAAAUUAAUUGAGAUGGUGAUUUAGUAUUCCCCCCCCCCCCCCCGCCACCAUUCAUUCUGGCGUUGAGUCCCUUUCAGUGCUCUGAAGUUAUGCUGUAGUUUCUUUGAUCCAGGAUUACAAAAGCGAGACCCUGAAGUAAAGAGAAGGUACCCGUACAUUAUUUGAGUAACUGUUUCCUUUGUGGCCAAUCCGUGUAUGCUUCUAGAAGUUUACAAAAUGCUUUAUUUUUGUCUGUAACAGUCUCUGUCAUCCGUUCUGUUGAUCAACUCUUUGGACAGAGUGAGGAAGUUUGCCUUGUAUCUCCUAGUGCUAACAGUACACUCCAGUCAUGAGCCAGGCUUUACAAAAUAAAGCACUUUGAUGACUCACAA